UACGUAGGGGGCAAGCGUUGUCCGGAUUUAUUGGGCGUAAAGAGCGUGUAGGCGGUUUGGUAGGUCCGUUGUGAAAACUCGAGGCUCAACCUCGAGACGCCGAUGGAAACCAUCAGACUAGAGUCCGGAAGAGGAGAGUGGAAUUCCUGGUGUAGCGGUGAAAUGCGCAGAUAUCAAGGAAGACACCCGUGGCUAAGGCGGCUCUCUAGUACGGUACUGACGCUGAGACGCGAAAGCGUGGGGAGCGAACAGG
rnacentral:rRNA from 1 species